CCUCAGUUCUGUUCCCCAGGAGGGAAACUCCCAGGAUUGGUUGAUGCUGGAGCAGGGGGGAGGCAGCGGGGCCUCGGGGGCAGCCAAGCCUCCAGGAGACUAUGCUCUCGAUGGGAAUAAACUAGAGGUGCAUUCAGAUGCUGAGGUCCAGGACCACCAGCCUCCCUCAGCCCCGAGCAGCCCCGUCCUGUCCCACAUGGCCCUGCCCUGUACCUGGUUACUGGGCGGCAGGAGGCUGCCUGGGAUGCUAGGCCACAUGGGCCGAGCCCAGAUGGAGCAGUCUGCCAACCCUGUACCACAGUCCCCUGUGAUGGAGAAGAGUGAAGCCAUACCACUAGAGGCUCUGUCAACCAAACCCAAUGACCUCCAAGAGGUCAAGGUCGACGAGCUGGAGAUUGACGAGCUGGAGAUUGUCGAACCAGCCCCCAGCCCUGUGCCAAGCCUCAUCCCAACCCACCUCGCAAACGCCAAAGACCCAGAGAGCGACUCAGGCCUCCCCGACCGUUCCUCCGAACCCAACCAACACCCUCAGAUGGAGAAAGCCGGAAGUGCCGCGGAGAGCACCGGCACCUUCUCCUUCUCCCCUCCCCCACCCACCUUGGUCCUGCUGCGAAGAGAAUCCCCCUCCUCGCCCAGAUUGAGCCGCAUCCCCAUACGAGAUCCAACCACCGUCCCGGAUUCCCCCACCAUGGACCGCCGCCACCGCUGGAGCAGCCCCGUGCCUGGCUCGCCCUCCCACUCGCCCUCUCCAUCGCUCUCCUGCGACAACCUGCUGCCCUGUGGCGUCCGGGAGAGGUUCCUUUCCUGCUCAGACCGCGGCUCACGCUCCGACUGGCUGGGGGAAGACCGUGACUCCCUCUCGCUCUCCUCCUCAGGCAGCAGGAGUAAAAUCCCUCGGCCCAUCAUUCCCCCUCUUCCAGGGCUCGAGCAGCAGCAGCUCUCCUCCUCUGGCAGGUUCCUGCCUCGUCCGCCUCCCGGGAAACCGCCUACCCGCCCAGCUGUAGACAACAGGCGCCGGCGUUUCCGGGUGCGUGCCAGCAGCACCAGCGACGCCGACUUCCUUGCCAAUCUCACCCAACUGAUGAAGGACUGCGGCGGUGCACUUUUCAGUCCGGCGCCACACCCCCGUAGCUCUUCCUCCUCUCUACAGCGCUCACUCAGCUCCUCCCCCUCACGUCACGAGCUCCGCGAGGGGGGAGGGGUCUUCCUGGGGCGUAGCCGCUCUCCGUCCAGCUUCUCGGGGUCCCCUCCCCCUCCAUGGUACCCCCAGGACAGGCUUAGUGGGCGGCAGGGGAUCCCGUGGGGCGCAGGGCCCGGUGCCAGAGGGAGGGGCCCUAGCCACGAGGGCAAAGGCAGCGGCAAAGUGAGCCGAUAAGUGGACAGAAUGGGUAUCAGUAUGUUGUUCAGAAGGGCACACUGUUGUAAGACAUUUUGCAACAAUAAACCCGACUCGAGCGUUUCUAAUUGGACACGUUCAGCCAAGGCCUUGUCAGCUCAUUAGGCGGCCACCGCUGGCGGCAGAUUGACACGGGUGGCAUUUUCUGGGCUAAACUGAACAAGAUGCACACCCAACAACACAACCUCAAAUAAAUCUGCCCCAAAACAAUGACAAUUUCUCUCAACCAGUGGCAUAUGGGCUUUUUAGGUGAGCGCUGAUGAGCAGUUCCCACUUUGUCAAAGGCAGGGGCACAAACAUGUUGCUUGUCCAUUCCCAGAGGCGCGCUGUGCGCUCCACCAACGUUCUGUUAAGAAAAUGAUCUAACAUAAAUCAUGUAGCAGAUAUAGCCAGCGUAAAAACAUGAGCCAUUCACAAUAAUUACAGCAAAAUGUCAAGAAAACUGUAUGCUUAUUACACCACUUUAUAAUUACCGCAUGUCAGAGGCAUGACAAAUUUAGUGAAUGGACUUGAAAACAGGUGAUCUAGCCUACAGUCAAAUGUGAUGUGGUUCGACGAGAACAUUGACAUUUUGCCAAGGCAGAGACAUGGCGACAUGACAAUAGCCAAAUUUGUCAUUUCACUUUUUGGUGUUUAACAGAUGUCUCUUUCCAUUCACCACUGUUUGGAGUCUGUUAAUAUGGUGCGAUUGGAUGAACGUGCACUGCUAGCCUAUGACGGAGCCCUUUGAAGUGAUUGUUGAACAAUUAGAUGAAAACAUUUUCAUUGGUUGUUUUUAUGCCACAGUAUAAGGUAAUGCAUUUUAAAAGUGAAAUAACAGGUCUUUACGACUAGGCCCACUGAGAUCUUAUUGAAUUAAUAGGGACUCUAUAUAUCAUUCUAUGAUUAGGCCCUUUGAAAAAUGCUGGUGCACGCGGUUGGUCCCAUAGUGGGAAGAAUUGAAUUAUACUUUCACCCCUGAAUAUAGCAUAUGGUAGAAAAAGUAGGUGGCCUUUUCUGUAGCCUACAGGCUGGAGAUAAAAUGUAAUGAGACGGACACUUUUUUACAUCAUACAGGUUUCUCCGAUCAAAUAGCCUAAUCUACAUCGCGUUGACAUGUUACAACAUUUCCUAAAAACAGGACAGGUCAAAGUAAAAUGGACAAUAUGGAACAUCAGGCUAUUCACAACUGCUGUUCAGACGUUUCAUCCCGUUGGCAAAAUGCUCAUGAUCAGUGGUUUAAAGUUUAUAUCUGUACAUUUUUUUUUACAAGCCGAUCAUAGCGAAAAAGAAAGUACUUCUUUAUUUCCCGCUGUGCGAACACAUUGCAAAUAGGCUCAGGAUAACUCCUGAUGAAGUUGUGUAGCUGAUAUUCAGAGCUGAAAUAGCCAAAUUGACUAGUCACAGGAAUCAGGACUAAUCAAGCCAAUGCAACGCCUGUUUUACAAACGGUGGGUCUUCCACAUGGUUGGGCAUUCAUAAAAUUCCUUUGCAGACCAACACAGUAGGCUUCACCCUAGUGAUCAUGGGCCGACGUCUCCUGGAUGUCUUUUUUUGGCCCUGUCCGGACCUGCCGUCUUUUAUUGGUAUUUUACAAACGGUAGGCCUACUACAUAGAUGGGCAUUCAUAAAAUUCUAAUUAGGCGACACUGUAGGCUACACCUCGGUAAGCACAGAUCGAUGCCGUCGCCUUUUGGAUGCCUUUUUUGGGGGGGUCCUAUCUGGAUCGGCCUAGAUUUCCACGGCCACGGAUGUUGGUUUUUAGUUCGGUCCAGACCAAAUCAUAGACAUCUAUGUUUGUUUCAGACCGUCUUUCAUUUGCCUCGCCUCGGGUGACAGAACAGUCAGGACCAGCCCUGCUUUCAGCAGGUACAUCUAUGUUUCGUCCCCACUGCACACGACCCAGGCGGCUAUGGUUACUCAGACUGUAAUAAUGUAUGUACAGAGAACGUACUGCAUCGGAUCCCAUCUUCAACUUUGACAGCAUGUCUACAUAUAUAUAUAUGAUCUACUACUGUACUCCAGGGAAUGUACUGUAUGUAAUGUAAAAUGUAUGAUAGAAUGUAUCUAUUUAUUUGAUGUGUCUCGAAAAAUGUACUUGAAAAAUGUAGCUUGAUUCCAGCAUUGGAACAUCAUAUUUCCGAAAAUCAUUGAGAUGGUCUACUCUUUCUCCCUGACCCCAGUCCUGGGUUCUUAACACUAUGUAUGUAUGUAUGCCAUGAGACCAAAAAGAUCUGUACUGUAUCAUAUGAGGGAUCUGAAGGAGGUUGCCUUGUAUAUACAGUUGAAGUCGGAAGUUUACAUACACUUAGGUUGGAGUCAUUAAAACUCGUUUUCAACCACUCCACACAUGUCUUGUUAACAAACUACCGUUUUGGCAAGUCAGUUAGGACAUCUACUUUGUGAAUGACACAUGUCAUUUUUCCAACAAUUGUUUACAGACAUAUUAUUUCACUUAUAAUUCACUGUAUCACAAUUCCAGUGGGUCAGAAGUUUACAUACCCUUAGUUGACUGCCUUUAAACAGCUUGGAAAAUACCAGAAAAUAAUGUCAUGACUUUAGAAGCUUCUGAUAGGCUAAUUGACAUCAUUUGAAUCAAUUGGAGGUGUACCUGUGGAUGUAUUUCAAGGCCUACCUUCAAACUCAAAGCCUCUUUGCUUGACAUCAUGGGAAAAUCAGAAGAAAUAAGCCAACAGCCAUCAACCUCAGGAAAAAAAAAUUGUAGACCUCCACAAGUCUGGUUCAUCCUUGAAACGAGUCCUAUAACAUAACCUGAAAGGCCGCUCAGCAAAUAAGAAGCCCCUGCUCCAAAACCGCCAUAAAAAGCCAGACUAUGGUUUGCAACUGCACAUGGGGAGAAAGAUCAUACUUUCCUGACCUGGGUCUUUCAAAUGGACAAUGACCCCCACGCAUACUUCCAAAAGUAAGCAAAAUGGCUUAAGGACAACAAAGUCAAGGUAUUGGAGUGGCCAUCACAGCCCUGAUCUCACUCCUAUAGAACAUUUGUGGGCAGAGCUGAAAAACCUGACUCAGUUACACCAGCUCUGUCAGGAGGAAUGGGCCAAAAUUCACCCAACUUAUUGUGGGAAGCUUGUGGAAGGCUACCUGAAACUUUGACCCAAGUUAAACAAUUGAAUGGCAAUGCUACCACUUACUAAUUGAAUGUAUGUAAACUUCUGACCCACUGGGAAUGUGAUGAAAGAAAUAAAAGCUGAAAUAAAUCAUUCUCUCUACUAUUAUUCUGACAUUUCACAUUCUUAAAAUAAAGUGGUGAUCCUAACUGACCUAAGACAGGCAAUUUUUUUACUAAGAUUAAAUGUCAGUCAUUGUGAAAAACUGUUUAAAUGUGUUUGGCUAAGGUGUACGUAAACUUCCGACUUCAACUGUAUGUACCGUUUAAAAAUAUAUAUAUAAUAAUUGUAUAGAGAGCAUUUCAGUGCUGUUCAUUCAAACUAAAUGUUAAUCUUAUUGCACCAACUUAUCAGCAUUCAUUUGUAAUAACCAGUGCAUGUAGUCCCAUCAACUCCAUUUCUCCUUUCCCUAAAACGACUAGAUGAAACAUGUAUUUCAAGCUAUUUAAAAGAUCUCACUCACUCUGGCGUAUUCACAAUGUAAUUCUGUGAUUUUAUUGCGAGAAAAUCUCUUAUUUUAGGUGAUGUGGAGGUGUCACAAUGUUGGAAUGUAAAAUGUUUUUUAAAAAGCACUACUGAAUUAAUGUAACAAGUGCAUGGAUAUCAUUGCAAAUAUAUGUGUGUUUAAAAAAAAAAAAACAUUUGUAGGGUCCGCUAAAACAAAACUGUAUUUUUUUAAUAAACGGGUCCCGAUUUUAAAUACAUUUAUCAUGCAGACCAGCAAAAUUGGAGUCUAUUUGUAUCUGCCCUCCUGAAAAACUGAUAUAAUGAUUGCAGAAAAUCAAAUAAAGUAUACAUUUGGCUUAUAGUGAACUAUAUGAAAUGAAUGUUCAAUGUAGUAGGCUACCUACCCUUUUGUCUUUAUUAAUAUUCAUAUAAAAACUAUGCUGUCAAAACUAUUUAAUUAAACAGAUGUGAUCUGUAA
ensembl:lncRNA